GACGAACGCUGGCGGCGUGCUUAACACAUGCAAGUCGAACGGAAAGGCCCUGCUUUUGUGGGGUGCUCGAGUGGCGAACGGGUGAGUAACACGUGAGUAACCUGCCCUUGACUUUGGGAUAACUUCAGGAAACUGGGGCUAAUACCGGAUAGGAGCUCCUGCUGCAUGGUGGGGGUUGGAAAGUUUCGGCGGUUGGGGAUGGACUCGCGGCUUAUCAGCUUGUUGGUGGGGUAGUGGCUUACCAAGGCUUUGACGGGUAGCCGGCCUGAGAGGGUGACCGGCCACAUUGCGACUGAGAUACGGCCCAGACUCCUACGGGAGGCAGCAGUGGGGAAUAUUGCACAAUGGGCGGAAGCCUGAUGCAGCAACGCCGCGUGCGGGAUGACGGCCUUCGGGUUGUAAACCGCUUUCGCCUGUGACGAAGCGUGAGUGACGGUAAUGUGUAAAGUAGCACCGGCUAACUACGUG
rnacentral:rRNA from 1 species